CCUCCAUGGACUCAGCUUUCUCUGUGGCAGCUUCAAGCACUGUCCCUCAGGGGCUCCACAAAGGCUCUUCAUCUGCUUGCAUUCACAGGCAUGUUCCCUACUCUACUCUUUGGGUCCCCAGUGCACAGGGCAUGAGGAAGCCUGUGGCUGUCCUUCGGGGCAUCCUGCUACUCUCUGCACCCAGUGCUGUCCAGUCACAGGGCAGCAGAGCCUCUCUCCCCCUGCAGCCCCGGCUCCAGGCCACCUGCUUCGCUUCUGUGACCAGGUUGCUACUGGACAGGGCUCAAGUGCACAGCCUCUGCUCCUGCCAGCUGCCCAGCAGCAGGCCCAGGAGGAGCCCAUCCUGACUGUCAGCUGUUGCCUGGAGCAUUGACAAGUGCUGGACUGAAUCUCCCCACAACAACACACAGAUCUACCCUAAAUUAAUGAAUAAAGGAAGCUGUCUAAACAGAAAGGAAGUAAUAAAAGAAGGAACUUUGGAAAAGCAUGAAGCAAGAAAACACAGAGUAUUUCAGGAAAAAAUAUGGACUUCGGGGGACUUCCGCCAAGAGGGCCGAACAGGAACUGGAGUGCAGUUCUCAGUGACAGCGACACAGAAGGCCAGUGGUCUCUGCAUCUCCAACCAAGGUACCAGGUUCAUCUCAAUGGGACUGGUUGAAAAGUCGGUGUAGCCCAAGGAGGGCAAACUGAGGCAGGGUGGGGCGCUGCCUCACCUGGAAAGUGCAAGGGACUGGAGAGCU